rnacentral:rRNA from 1 species
UUAAGCGACUAAGCGUACACGGUGGAUGCCUAGGCAGUCAGAGGCGAUGAAGGGCGUGCUAAUCUGCGAAAAGCGUCGGUAAGGUGAUAUGAACCGUUAUAACCGACGAUACCCGAAUGGGGAAACCCAGUGCAAUUCGUUGCACUAUUGCAUGGUGAAUACAUAGCCAUGCAAGGCGAACCGGGGGAACUGAAACAUCUAAGUACCCCGAGGAAAAGAAAUCAACCGAGAUUCCCCCAGUAGCGGCGAGCGAACGGGGAGGAGCCCAGAACCUGAAUCAGCAUAUGUGUUAGUGGAAGCGUCUGGAAAGUCGCACGGUACAGGGUGAUAGUCCCGUACACAAAAAUGCAUAUGUUGUGAGUUCGAUGAGUAGGGCGGGACACGUGACAUCCUGUCUGAAUAUGGGGGGACCAUCCUCCAAGGCUAAAUACUCCUGACUGACCGAUAGUGAACCAGUACCGUGAGGGAAAGGCGAAAAGAACCCCGGCGAGGGGAGUGAAAUAGAACCUGAAACCGUGUACGUACAAGCAGUGGGAGCACCUUCGUGGUGUGACUGCGUACCUUUUGUAUAAUGGGUCAGCGACUUAUAUUUUGUAGCAAGGUUAACCGAAUAGGGGAGCCGUAGGGAAACCGAGUCUUAACUGGGCGAAUAGUUGCAAGGUAUAGACCCGAAACCCGGUGAUCUAGCCAUGGGCAGGUUGAAGGUUGGGUAACACUAACUGGAGGACCGAACCGACUAAUGUUGAAAAAUUAGCGGAUGACUUGUGGCUGGGGGUGAAAGGCCAAUCAAACCGGGAGAUAGCUGGUUCUCCCCGAAAGCUAUUUAGGUAGCGCCUCGUGAACUCAUCUUCGGGGGUAGAGCACUGUUUCGGCUAGGGGGUCAUCCCGACUUACCAAACCGAUGCAAACUCCGAAUACCGAAGAAUGUUAUCACGGGAGACACACGGCGGGUGCUAACGUCCGUCGUGAAGAGGGAAACAACCCAGACCGCCAGCUAAGGUCCCAAAGUCAUGGUUAAGUGGGAAACGAUGUGGGAAGGCAUAGACAGCCAGGAUGUUGGCUUAGAAGCAGCCAUCAUUUAAAGAAAGCGUAAUAGCUCACUGGUCGAGUCGGCCUGCGCGGAAGAUGUAACGGGGCUAAACCAUGCACCGAAGCUGCGGCAGCGACACUUAGGUGUUGUUGGGUAGGGGAGCGUUCUGUAAGCCGUUGAAGGUGACCUGUGAGGGUUGCUGGAGGUAUCAGAAGUGCGAAUGCUGACAUAAGUAACGAUAAUGCGGGUGAAAAACCCCCACGCCGGAAGACCAAGGGUUCCUGUCCAACGUUAAUCGGGGCAGGGUGAGUCGACCCCUAAGGCGAGGCUGAAAAGCGUAGUCGAUGGGAAACAGGUUAAUAUUCCUGUACUUGGUGUUACUGCGAAGGGGGGACGGAGAAGGCUAGGCUAGCCGGGCGACGGUUGUCCCGGUUUAAGCAUGUAGGCGGAGUGACUUGGUAAAUCCGGUUGCUUAUCAACGCUGAGGUGUGAUGACGAGCCACUACGGUGGUGAAGUAGUUGAUGCCAAGCUUCCAGGAAAAGCCUCUAAGCAUCAGGUAACAUUAAAUCGUACCCCAAACCGACACAGGUGGUCAGGUAGAGAAUACUCAGGCGCUUGAGAGAACUCGGGUGAAGGAACUAGGCAAAAUGGUGCCGUAACUUCGGGAGAAGGCACGCUGGCAUUAGGUAAAGAGACUUGCUCUCGGCGCCGAAGCCAGUCGCAGAUACCAGCUGGCUGCAACUGUUUAAUAAAAACACAGCACUGUGCAAACACGAAAGUGGACGUAUACGGUGUGACGCCUGCCCGGUGCUGGAAGGUUAAUUGAUGGGGUCAGCCGCAAGGCGAAGCUCUUGAUCGAAGCCCCAGUAAACGGCGGCCGUAACUAUAACGGUCCUAAGGUAGCGAAAUUCCUUGUCGGGUAAGUUCCGACCUGCACGAAUGGCGUAAUGAUGGCCAGGCUGUCUCCACCCGAGACUCAGUGAAAUUGAACUCGCUGUGAAGAUGCAGUGUACCCGCGGCAAGACGGAAAGACCCCGUGAACCUUUACUAUAGCUUGACACUGAACAUUGAGCCUUGAUGUGUAGGAUAGGUGGGAGGCAUUGAAGUGUGGACGCCAGUCUGCAUGGAGCCAACCUUGAAAUACCACCCUUUAAUGUUUGAUGUUCUAACUCGGCCCCGUGAUCCGGGGUGAGGACAGUGUCUGGUGGGUAGUUUGACUGGGGCGGUCUCCUCCCAAAGAGUAACGGAGGAGCACGAAGGUUAGCUAAUCACGGUCGGACAUCGUGAGGUUAGUGCAAAGGCAUAAGCUAGCUUGACUGCGAGAGUGACGGCUCGAGCAGGUACGAAAGUAGGUCUUAGUGAUCCGGUGGUUCUGAAUGGAAGGGCCAUCGCUCAACGGAUAAAAGGUACUCCGGGGAUAACAGGCUGAUACCGCCCAAGAGUUCAUAUCGACGGCGGUGUUUGGCACCUCGAUGUCGGCUCAUCACAUCCUGGGGCUGAAGUAGGUCCCAAGGGUAUGGCUGUUCGCCAUUUAAAGUGGUACGCGAGCUGGGUUUAGAACGUCGUGAGACAGUUCGGUCCCUAUCUGCCGUGGGCGUUGGAAGAUUGAGAGGGGCUGCUCCUAGUACGAGAGGACCGGAGUGGACGAAUCACUGGUGUUCGGGUUGUCAUGCCAAUGGCAUUGCCCGGUAGCUAAAUUCGGAAGAGAUAACCGCUGAAAGCAUCUAAGCGGGAAACUUGCCUCGAGAUGAGUCUUCCCUGGGGCUUUAAGCCCCCUGAAGGAACGUUAAAGACUAUGACGUUGAUAGGCUGGGUGUGUAAGUGCAGCGAUGCAUUGAGCUAACCAGUACUAAUGAUCCGUGAGGCUUAACCUU